rnacentral:rRNA from 1 species
CUCAGGAAUGAACGCUGGGGCGUGCUUACACAUGCAAGUCGAACGAUGAAGCCCUUCGGGGUGGAUUAGUGGCGAACGGGUGAGUAACACGUGGGCAAUCUGCCCUGCACUCUGGGACAAGCCCUGGAAACGGGGUCUAAUACCGGAUAUGACCGUCCAUCGCAUGGUGGAUGGUGUAAAGCUCCGGUGGUGCAGGAUGAGCCCGCGGCCUAUCAGCUAGUUGGUGAGGUAGUGGCUCACCAAGCGACGACGGCUAGCCGGCCUGAAAGGGCGACCGGCCACACUGGGACUGAGACACGGCCCAGACUCCUACGGGAGGCAGCAGUGGGGAAUAUUGCACUAUGGGCGAUAGCCUGAUGCAGCGACACCGCGUGAGGGAUGACGGCCUUCGGGUUGUAAACCUCUUUCAGCAGGGAAGAAGCGAAAGUGACGGUACCGCAGAGAAGCGCCGGCUAACUACGUGCCAGCAGCCGCGGUAAUACGUAGGGCGCAAGCGUUGUCCGGAAUUAUUGGGCGUAAAGAGCUCGUAGGCGGCUUGUCACGUCGGUUGUGAAAGCCCGGGCUUAACCCCGGGUCUGCAGUCGAUACGGGCAGGCUAGAGUUCGGUAGGGGAGAUCGGAAUUCCUGGUGUAGCGGUGAAAUGCGCAGAUAUCAGGAGGAACACCGGUGGCGAAGGCGGAUCUCUAGACCGAUACUGACGCUGAGGAGCGAAAGCGUUGGGAGCGAACAGGAUUAGAUACCCUGGUAGUCCACGCCGUAAACGGUGGGCACUAGGUGUGGGCAACAAUCAACGUUAUCCGUACCACAGUAACACAUUAAGUGCGCCGCCUGGGGAGUACGACCGCAAGGCAUAUACUCAAAGGAAUUGACGGGGACCCGCACAAGCGGCGGAGCAUGUGGCUUAAUUCGAUCAACACGAAGAACCUUACCAAGGCUUGACAUACACCGGAAAACAUCAGAGAUGGUGCCCCCUUGUGGUCGGUGUACAGGUGGUGCAUGGCUGUCGUCAGCUCGUGUCGUGAGAUGUUGGGUUAAUACCCACAAAGGAGCACAACCUUUGUGCAGUUUGCAAACAGCCCCUUGUGGUGCUGGGGACUCACGGGAGACCUCCGGGGUCACUCGGAGGAGGUGGGGACGACAUCGAGUCAUCAUGCCCCUAUGUCUUGGGCUGAACACGUGCUACAAUGACCGGUACAAUGAGCUGCGAUACCGUGAGGUGGAGCGAAUUCAAAAAGCCGGUCUCAGUUCGGAUUGGGGUCUGCAACUCGACCCCAUGAGUCGGAGUCGCUAGUAAUCGCAGAUCAACAUUGCUGCGGUGAAUACGUUCCCGGGCCUUGUACACACCGCCCGUCACGUCACGAAAGUCGGUACACCCGAAACCGGUGGCCCAACCCCCUU